rnacentral:rRNA from 1 species
UACGGAGGGAGCUAGCGUUGUUCGGAAUUACUGGGCGUAAAGCGCACGUAGGCGGCUUUGUAAGUUAGAGGUGAAAGCCCGGGGCUCAACCCCGGAAUAGCCUUUAAGACUGCAUCGCUUGAAUCCGGGAGAGGUGAGUGGAAUUCCGAGUGUAGAGGUGAAAUUCGUAGAUAUUCGGAAGAACACCAGUGGCGAAGGCGGCUCACUGGACCGGUAUUGACGCUGAGGUGCGAAAGCGUGGGGAGCGAACAGG